UGGCUCUCGCAUCGAUGAAGAACGCAGCGAAAUGCGAUAAGUAAUGUGAAUUGCAGAAUUCAGUGAAUCAUCGAAUCUUUGAACGCACCUUGCGCUCUCUGGUAUUCCGGAGAGCAUGCCUGUUUGAGUGUCACGUGAACAUCUCUAUGCCCUUAUGGGUGUUGAGGACCUGGACUGUGCCGUCGUUGGCUCGUCCCGAAAUUCAUUAGCUUGUGCUUCUGAGCCAGCCUUGGAGAGAUAUACAUCUCUCAGCCUCUGCGCUUGUGUAUCGCCUAGCUUAUAAUCGUCGGCUUGCCCUGACAAUUUUCAUUAACGCUCUGGCCUCAAAUCAGGUAGGACUACCCGCUGA
rnacentral:misc_RNA from 1 species